rnacentral:rRNA from 1 species
GUCUUCUUGUUUAUGUAAGAAGUCUGACCUGCCCGGUGAUUUAUUUUAACGGCCGCGGUAUUUUUGACCGUGCAAAGGUAGCAUAAUCAUUAGUCUUUUAAUAGGAGGCUGGUAUGAAGGGUUUGACGAAGUAUUAACUGUCUCAAUUAAUUUUAUAUUAAAAUUUAACUUUUUAGUCAAAAGGCUUAAAUUUAGUUGGAAGACGAGAAGACCCUAUAGAGUUUUAUAGAUUUUUUAUAGUUUGUUAUAUAAUUUUCAUAUUUUAUAAAAUCUAUUUUGUUGGGGUGACAAGAAUAUAAAUUUAACUUUUUUAUUUAUUAAUCAUUGAUUGAUGUUUAUUAGAUCCAGUCUUACUGAUUGUUAGAACAAGUUACC